rnacentral:rRNA from 1 species
CCAAUAGCGUAUAUUAAAGUUGUUGCAGUUAAAAAGCUCGUAGUUGAAUUUCGGGAUCAAUAUGUUGGUCGUGCCUCGGUACGUACUAGCUUAUUGGUUUCUCCUUUCUGAAGAACCAUGAUGUCAUUUAUUUGGUGUCGUGGGGAAUCAGGACUGUUACUUUGAAAAAAUUAGAGUGUUUAUAGCAGGCUCACGCUUGAAUACAUUAGCAUGGAAUAAUGAAAUAGGACGUUUGAUUCUAUUUUGUUGGUUUCUAGGAUCGACGUAAUGAUUAAUAGGGAUAGUUGGCGGCAUUAGUAUUCAAUUGUCAGAGGUGAGAUUCUUGGAUUUAUUGAAGACUAACUACUGCGAAAGCAUUUGCCAAGGAUGUUUUCAUUAAUCAAGAACGAAAGUUAGGGGAUCGAAGACGAUCAGAUACCGUCGUAGUCUUAACCAUAAACUAUGCCGACUAGGGAUCGGAUGAUGCUAAUUUUUUAAUGACUCAUUCGGCGCCUUACA